rnacentral:rRNA from 1 species
GACGAACGCUGGCGGCGUGCUUAACACAUGCAAGUCGAACGGAAAGGCCCCCUUGUGGGGUACUCGAGUGGCGAACGGGUGAGUAACACGUGAGUAACCUACCCUUGACUUUGGGAUAACUUCAGGAAACUGGGGCUAAUACCGGAUAGGAGCUCCUGCUGCAGGGUGGGGGUUGGAAAGUUUCGGCGGUUGGGGAUGGACUCGCGGCUUAUCAGCUUGUUGGUGGGGUAGUGGCUCACCAAGGCUUUGACGGGUAGCCGGCCUGAGAGGGUGACCGGCCACAUUGGGACUGAGAUACGGCCCAGACUCCUACGGGAGGCAGCAGUGGGGAAUAUUGCACAAUGGGCGGAAGCCUGAUGCAGCAACGCCGCGUGCGGGAUGACGGCCUUCGGGUUGUAAACCGCUUUCGCCUGUGACGAAGCGUGAGUGACGGUAAUGGGUAAAGAAGCACCGGCUAACUACGU